rnacentral:rRNA from 1 species
UUGCGGUUAAAACGUUCGUAGUUGAAUUUGUGUCCCACACGGGUAAUUGGCCCACUUACGGGUUCUUAUUACUUGCCGGCUUGCUGGCUUUAGUGUGCGGACGUUUUACCGGUGAGGGAAACGGUGUAGUUUCGGCUGCAAUACGCCCCUUAUUUAUUUCAUAAACCCGUCUUGGUGCUUUUAAUCGAGUGCCAAUGUGGGCCGGUACUAUUACUUUGAACAAAUUAGAGUGCUUAAAGCAGGCUAAAUUUAAUGAAAGUUAAAACGCCUGAAUAUAUUUUGCAUGGAAUAAUGGAAUAGGACCUCUGUUCUACUUUCAUUGGUUUUUAGACCAAGAGGUAAUGAUUAAUAGAAGCAGUUGGGGGCAUUAGUAUUACGAGGCGAGAGGUGAAAUUCGUAGACCCUCGUAAGACUAACUUAAGCGAAAGCAUUUGCCAAGGAUGUUUUCAUUAAUCAAGAACGAAAGUUAGAGGAUCGAAGGCGAUCAGAUACCGCCCUAGUUCUAACCAUAAACGAUGCCAGCUAGCAAUUGUAUGUAGCUACUAAUUUUGGUUCAUACAGUCGCUUUCCCGGGAAACCAAAGCUUUUGGGCUCCGGGGGAAGUAUGGGUUGCAAAGCUGAAACUUAA